CUCAUAGCCAGAUCUGCAGGUCUCAGC
rnacentral:piRNA from 1 species